rnacentral:lncRNA from 1 species
CCAGACAUAAAGCAACUUAAACAGAUUAUGUACUAAACUUAAACUAAUAUUUUAAACAUGUAACUUUAAAGAGGGAAUGAUAUAAACACACGACAUUAAUUCUUUAAUUAUACCAACAAAAAAAAAGAACAACAAGAAAAAAACAGAAGGAUGGCACAUUUCCAUGACGUAGAUUUCACAAGACAACAAUAUACAUCCAUAAACAUGGUAAUAAAAUGAAAUCAAAGUGGAAGUAGUGAACCUUCUUUGAAGCUUUGUGAAUAUAUCAACAAGAAAACUCCAGAUGGUUUAAAAUACGUCAAACAGAGCCUUCCUUCAUAUUGACUUCUGUUCGAGUUUACAAAUGUUCACCAUAAUAGCAAAAAACAACAGCAAAGCGAGAUGAUCACAACUAGCUUCAAACCAACGACCCGGACUAGAAAUCACAAACAAAGCAUCUCAUCCCAACUCCAUUUUUCUUCUUAGAAAAAUUUUGAAUCAAAAAAAGAACUCAAGAUAGUUUUGGAUGCUAUUUCUGAAU